UUUUGAAAACAUGUGCCGUAGACAGUAGGUGUAGAAAUACUUAAUUUCCUACCGAGGAACUUGAAUUACUUAAGUUUUUUGAGCUCUUACGGUGUAAGAGCUUUUUAUAC
rnacentral:sRNA from 1 species